rnacentral:lncRNA from 1 species
UGUGCUUGCAACAUAAGUUGAAUGAUGAUGAAUAUGCCGAAUCACUAGUUCAAAAUCUAUUAAAUUUAGAUGAAUUGAAGUUGGACGUUUUAGAUAGGUUGCAAGUUCAAAAGCAAAGAAUGGCUAAAUUUUAUAAUAAAAAAGUCAUAGCCAAGUCGUUCAGCCUGGGUGAAUUAGUUUGGAAGACGAUACUCCCUUUG